rnacentral:rRNA from 1 species
UACAGGAGGGUUGCCAAGCUGUUUGGUCCGGAAUUUAUUGGGUUUAAAGGGUGCGUAGGCGGCCCUGUAAGAUCAGUGGUGAAAUACUGCAGCUUAACUGUAAGCAUUGCCAUUGAUACUGCAGGGCUUGAGUACAGAUGAGGUAGGCGGAAUUGAUGGUGUAGCGGUGAAAUGCAUAGAUACCAUCAAGAACACCGAUUGCGAAGGCAGCUUACUAGCUGUAACUGACGCUGAGGCACGGAAAGCGUGGGGAUCGAACAGG